GUUUAGGCUUUUUUAAAAGCCACAUCAAGGUCCUGUUAAGCUUUGU
rfam:Pelecanus crispus contig74663, whole genome shotgun sequence.